UAGAAGACAGCUGGAUUCUCGAAUCUGCUCCUGCUUUCAAUCUGUUGUGAUAGGUUGUUUCCACUGAAGUAUAUGGAAAGCAUCCAGCCUCAUACAUAUGUCUGGUUGAAAAAAAGAGUACUUUAACAGACAUUUCAGGUUCUUCCUGAUUUUCCACACUUCAUUAUUUGCUUUGUGAAGUUCAAACGUCUUAAGGACAUCAAGCAGUGGACUGGGAUGAAGACCAAUACAUAAUUCAUGUUCUAAGUCACAAUACCACAGUGCCUAUGUAAAAGAGGUCAUAUGUUUAAAAUGGGAAAAUGGUCUGCAUACUUACCUGGGUACAAAAUAGAAUCAUAAGCAUAAAGAGCUUUAGUGAGUAGCCUGGCGUAGCAGAGGAUAGUUAAACAUUUAUAAUCUGAGCUGCUUCUUCCGAAGUACGGAGCGGUGACUGGGAGACCACUGCUCAGCCAGGAACUACAGAGCUCAGCGUGGAUGUGAACAGAAAUGAUGCAUGGGACUUCCAGGCCAGCGUUUUCAGGAACAGGUAAGCCUUCUCUAGCCUCUGUCUCAGUCUGCCUCUGGAUGCAGAGGACUCAAGGCUCUAGAAGACGACAGCAGCAAAUAUGACAGAAGGUGCCUAUGCCCAUGAAUCAGCCACAUGGAGAAAAACAGCCUGCUGUUCAGCAACACCUACGUUGGACUAGUACAUGAGUGAUAAAGGUUUAAUAUGUUGAGCCACUGAAAUUUUAGUGUUUGUUAUGGCAGCUAGCAUCAGUCUAUAAUACAUGAAGGGUUCUCUAAAUAGUUAGUGACAGGGCUGA